rnacentral:lncRNA from 15 species
AUGAUUGCCACAGCUCAGCCAAUAAAAACCAAACGGAUCUCCCCUCUUAUGUUUCACUCAUUUGGUUGUAUUAUCUCUGUGCUUACAGGUGGUAAACCAGUAAUUCUGGUCGUGAUGCAUCACACCUUCAAUCCUGACCAAGUUCUAGCUGAAAGCAGAAGACUGGUGGACAACCCCAAUGUUAAGCUUACUGUGGACUGUCUGUUCUAUGAGGACAAACUCCUGGAGUCCAACCGAAAUUAUACUGCAUGGAUUGAUGUCCAGAAGUAUCUUGGAGUUUCCAAGCAGCCUACCUUGGUAGCCAAAUUCAUGAAUUACAUCAGAAGGAAGUUUGACUUCAAUCAUCAACUUCAGAUUUCAGUGCCCCAGAAAAAGUUCUUUGUCAUCUUGGUGGGAAAAACUAAUGAUGCUCAUCUUGAGUUUUUGGCAAAGCUUGAAAGCAUUGGUCAUACUGAGGUGAACUCUCCAGAAGAAAGUGACUACCUUCUGGUUUUCUGUCCUGUUGCUUCAAGAGUUGGAACAGACGUCAGCGAGGCCCUGGAAAACCUUCCAGGUGAUAAACCAGCAAUUCUGGUCGUGAUGCAUCACACCUUCAACCCUUACCAAGUUCUAGCUGAAAGCAAAAGACUGGUGAACAACCCCAAUGUUAAGCUUACUGUGGACUGUCUGUUCUAUGAGGGCAAACUCCUGACGUCCAACCGAAAUGAUACUGCAUGGAUUGAUGUCCAGAAGUAUCUUGGAGUUUCCAAGGAGUCUACCUUGGGAGCCAUGAAUAACAUCAGUAGGAAGCGUGACAGCAAUCAUGAACUUCAGAUUUCUGGUCAGAUUUUUUGUAGGCUAUCUUCUUCACUUUCCUUCGAAUUAAGGGAUUUUGAUAUUGGUAUUAUUAAUCUAAGGGCGUUUUCACACAUACCUCUUUUGGUCCGGACCUUCGGACUUUUCAGUUUGGUCCGAAUCAAAAUUGUAGGUGAGAAAGGUGCCACGGACCACGGUCCGGANNNNNNNNNNNNNNNNNNNNNNNNNNNNNNNNNNNNNNNNNNNNNNNNNNNNNNNNNNNNNNNNNNNNNNNNNNNNNNNNNNNNNNNNNNNNNNNNNNNNAGUCUUAGCUUUCAUUGGUGCCUUAACUGAUUGAACGCGGGUGGAAGGUGAUUCUACGUUAACCACCAGGGUGUCACCAGUCUUAGCUUUCAUUGGUGUCUUAACUGAUUGAACGCGGGUGGAAGGUGAUUCUACGUUAACCACCAGGUUGUCACCAGUCUUAGCUUUCAUCGGUGUCUUAACUGAUUGAACGCGGGUGGAAGGAGAUUCUACGUUAACCACCAGGGUGUCACCAGUCUUAGCUUUCAUCGGUGUCUUAACGGAUUGAACGCGGGUGGAAGGUGAUUCUACGUUAACCACCAGGUUGUCACCAGUCUUAGCUUUCAUUGGUGUCUCAAUGUAUUGAACGGGGGUGGGAGGUGUCGUGCAGCAACUUCCUACAGGUGUCGCGCCGCAACUUCCCACGACUGAGGGGGUCUCAGCAGGCGACGUGUGACAGAUCACCUCCCUGAUUUUUUUCACGACGAGACUUGCGUGGUCCCUCUUUGUUUUGUGGCGUAUCAGCUGCCUGGUAAGCCAUUGCCUAAUCUGCCCCAUAAAGCAGUCCACGUCGCCCUGUAUUGUGAAGCGGAAGUCCUCCAUGGGAACCUCUGGCUGUAAGUGUUGGGAAACUAUAUUGCCGAGCUCUAUGCCAGCUGCGUUGUCUUGACCGCUUCCGACGGAAUUGAUUAUCUCGUCAGGGGUCAUGUCUUCCGUGGCCAUCUUUAGAUCCUCUUCAUUUAAUGAUAUGAUGCUUCUAAUUACCAGAUCAGCCUCCUCCAUCAGCUCACUCACAGAAGACGGUUCUUCUGGGGGGCAUUCAUAAUCACGCCUCAAUUUUGCCAUUAGGCCAAGUAGUGACCCCAUGGCAUAACGCUGAGCGUAGAAUGCCUUAACUUUGGCUUCCACUUUUUUCCAGUGGGACGUCUUCUCGGGUACAGCCAGCGAUUCCGGCAGUGUACCUUCUGAGUCUAUUUUAAGCUCCACGAUUGUCUCCCUGACAAUCGCAGAGGCCAACUCCUCCACGUCCUGGGAAGAUUCAGACUCAAACAUCUCGCCUUCUUCCUCCGAAAUGUGGACGUUAUAGUGAACUGGUCUUAUGGUCUUGGCCCUUUGUUGCAUGAGGAUUUUUACGACUUUGAUUGUUUUGUCCACAAAGCUCAUCUGAGACUCUGUUCCUGUCUCAUCAAGAGAAGGAACAACGGGGGUGUGGCACGACUCCUCCGUUCCAAUUAGUGCAAUUUCCUCCACUGGCAAAUUUUCUAUUGUUAGGAUGUCUUCCGCAACCUCCGUUGUGAGGCUUUGCUGGGCCUUCUUAAUGGCGCACUUUUUAAAGAUUCUGGCUGCGUGUCGGACCAUUACCUGUAGUCUCAGGGUGAAGGAGUGAGAGAUAAGAGGUCUGCUCCCCUCAAUGACUCCACCACUUUCAGAGAUUUUAGAGAGCAUAUUAACUCUCUCUGUGACCUCUGUAAUCACAGUGUCCGUCAGCUUUUCCGUGCUUCGGGAACUGAUGUCUGGGACACCGGUGGCCUCGGAUAAGGCCAGAGAGAUGGAGUCCUCCAGACACCCGCGGACAUCAUCUUCAGAUACAUGGCUCUUCUGUGAUCCGGCCGACCCAGAAGAGCUUUUGGAGGAUUUAGGAAUGUCUCCCUCCUUCUGUUCGCGCUGUCUAAACACCCCAUGUAUGUGGAUGAAUAUCGUAUUAACGAUAUCCACACACAUGUUAUUAAUAAUCUCUUCGGUCUUCGCAUCAAGUGACCCGGAUUUGAGAAGCGACCAAUCUAUGUUUGUCAGCUUCUCCAGACACUGUCUGAUGUGUGUACGAAGACUCUCCAUUGUGUCUUGAUCCAUCUUGUAUUCGUUAAUAUCCUUGGAUUCAAAGUCCUGAAGAAUCUGUGCUUCCAGUGUUUGUCUUUGUGUUCGAAGUGAGUCUGAACUGAUGUUGGAUUUCGAUCCUAUAUAUACAUCUGCAGACAGAAUGUUCGCCUUUGUAUCAAAGAAACAUUCUAUUGUCUUUGAUCUCUGACAUCAUGACAUACCGAUGACAUCACAGCAAAAGAUUGAAGGAAUAAAAAAAACACAACAUUCUGACAAUAAAAAUAUUUAAAAAUAAACAAACUUCGCUUAAACUUAAUUGAUUUAGUCAUACACUAAACUAUUUGAAAUUCUGAUUUAUAAUUAAAUUAAUAACUACAACUACUGUUAAUAGUUCGUAAUUUGAAGGAUUUGGUAAUGUAACUCAGUUACGUGUAAUCUAUUACCCCUCAAAUCUGCUUACUGUUGAUUGAGGACCAGUUGAUUGCCUGGGGUUUGUAGAUUACCGUAUUUUCCGGACUAUAAGUCGCACUUUUUUUCAUAGUUUGGCUGGUCCUGCGACUUAUAGUCAGGUGCCACUUAUAUGUGAACAUGUUUUUGAAUAAUAAUUCCGACAUGAAACAAGGAGUAGCCUAAACAUUACCGUCCACAGCCCCGAGAAGGCGCUCUAGGCUUGACACAAACAAAAUUUGCCCCCCAAAAGAAAGUCAUUCUCUGCAGAUUACAAACUGAUGGUAGCAAAAUAUGCAGCCGAAAACAGUAAACGAGCGGCAGAAAGACAGUUUGGAGUGAGAAACUUGUGAUGGACUGGCGAAAAGCAGAGGUUACUCUUACUGCAAUGAAGAAAACAAAGAAAGCUAACGUACCAGCACUCAGAGCCGAACGGUGUUUAGCGCCAGUACGUUAAUCGCAGGCUGAAAGCAAGAUGGCCAGAGCUGGAGGAACGAGUCCACAGAUGGGUGCUUGAACAACGUGCUGCCGGGAGAGGCUUGUCAACAUUGCAGUUACGUCUCCACGCCCUGGUAGUUGCAAAGGAGAUGAAUAUAAAUGACUUUGCAGGCGGGCCUUCUUGGUUUUACCGCUUCAUGCAACGUAACUGCCUCUCUGUCAGAGCACGGACAACGGACAACGGUGUGUCAGAAACUGUCAGCAGACUUCCAAGCCAAGGUUGACAGUUUUCUUGAGUUCGUUGAAAAGCAGGUAACUGAACACAACGUGUCACCGGAUCAUAUUAUCAACAUGGACGAGGUCCCCCUCGCGUUUGAUAUCCCCAUGGGCCGAAGUAAUAAAUAAUAAUAAUAAAUAAAUGCGACUUAUAGUCCGGUGCGACUUAUAUAUGUUUUUUUUCCUCUUCAUGAGGCAUUUUUUGACUGAUGCGACUUACACUCCGGAGCAACUUAUAGUCUGGAAAAUACGGUAGUUUUUUUAAAUAAAGCUUUGGUACUUACAUUACUGUAAUAGUAAUAAGAGUUUUAAACAUGGUGUUCACAUUCAGGAGACUAAUGCGGCAGCAUUAGUGCCCGAGUACCUCCUCAUGAAGACUAGAGGGGAGUUAUGGAGCUAGAUUCUUGGUUAGGUAGCCAGAUAGCGGGAAGCCCAGUUGGAGGCUGCGUCUGUCUUUUGUGCACACUGGUGGGUCCUAACACAUUGCAUUCCCAUUCUCCUGUGUGCUUGCGAAUAUUGUGUAAGUAUGGAUGGAGUCGUAAAAGUUUUCAAGAUGGAAAUCAUAGUUUGACCAAAAUCACUGCACUGUGUUGCAAUGUUUGCAGUAAUCCUCAAAAAUAAAAAAAGCAAUACAUAUUUACAUUAUGACAUUAUUAAUCUUAAAAGCACUGUGCUCUGUUUGAUCCACUAUUACAUGUUGUUUUUCAGAUUUUCAUCCAUCAGCGUCUCUCACAGUGAGUCCUGACAGAGUGCAAAACUUCACCUCUGACUCUGUCUCACUGAGCUGUGAGGGAAACUCUACUGAGUGGAGAGUGAGGAGGUUGACUGAGAACAGCUACCAUUCAUACUGCUCCUCCUGGGGGACAAUGAAUGGAUCCACAUGCAACAUAGACAGUUUCUGGCAGAGUGAUGCAGUGUACUGGUGUGAGUCUGGAUCAGGAGACUUCAGCAACGCCGUCAACGUAACUAUUCAGAGUAUGGUUUCAUUACAUUUUCUUUUUCCUUUAGAAAUUAUUUUAAACAUCACAUUAUGUGUUUUAACAUAUAUUAGAAUCAUGUUGUACACAGCAUCUACAUUGAGGAGUUCACUGAUUGCUUCAUCAUAUCAGCCUAUUUUAUAAACAUUCAGUGUUAGUUUUGAUCAUUAUUAAUUACCAUAUAACAUAAAGUAAUAGUAGUACUAACAUUUAGCAGUGCAUUAGUCCACAAAACAAAUUACACCAACAUGUUUUCCAGAAAAUAAACCAUUUGUCUUCUAAAUUAAUUUGUUAAAUUUUAAAGAUUAUUUUACCAGCAGGUAUAAAAUCAAAGAAUCAUCUUUGAAUAUUUUGUACUGGCCACCACCAACACAAUUAUAUGAAUUAUUAUCAAAUUAAUUAAUGAACACAGUUAAAUACUUUUAUUGUAAUUUUAACCAUGUACAUCAUUACAGUCUAAGCUUUUAUCUUAUUGUUUCCACAGAGAGCACCGUCACACAUCUCUCCUACAGACACUGAAAACCAUUUCAUCAUCUUAUUAUGAUGAGGAUUGGAUGUAGUAUACAGUAGACUUAUGUAGCUUUAUGGGUGAUCUGUACUUAAGUUUUCAGUGUAGUUUGUAGAACCUUGUAGACACCUGCUGUUUAUUUGGUAAAAUUAUACUUUACAGACACAUAAGUUGUAUGUACAAAAGAUAAAACAUCAGACUUUAUGAUCACUCUGUAAAAUAUAUCAGUGAUGUGUGAAUUCAACCAGCUGAUCUGACUGAAACCUCAUAUUCUUUGACUGUUUUACAGAAACAGAUAUUAUCCUGGUGAGCCCUGUCCAUCCUGUGACUGAGGGAGAUUCUGUUAGUCUGAGCUGCAGAUUGAGAAGACAAACAUUUGAGUCCAAUGUGUUUUUCUAUCAAAAUGAGAAACUGAUUCAAAAUGAUACCAGAAGGGAGCUGAAUAUCUCUGCAGUGUCAAAGUCAGAUGAGGGUUUCUACAAGUGUCAAUACUCACAACAAGUGUCAGCACAGAGUUGAAUGUCAGUUAAUGGUGAGUAAGAUUGAAAAUUUUCUGCAUUUUCUUUAU